rnacentral:rRNA from 1 species
UUUCCUACGGGGGGCAGCAGUGGGGGAUAUUGGACAAUGGGGGAAACCCUGAUCCAGCGACGCCGCGUGAGUGAAGAAGUAUUUCGGUAUGUAAAGCUCUGUCAGCAGGGAAGAAAGAAAUGACGGUACCUGACCAAGAAGCCCCGGCUAACUACGUGCCAGCAGCCGCGGUAAUACGUAGGGGGCAAGCGUUAUCCGGAAUUACUGGGUGUAAAGGGAGCGUAGACGGUGAUGCAAGUCUGGAGUGAAAGGCGGGGGCCCAACCCCCGGGACUGCUCUUGGAACUGCGUGGCUGGAGUGCAGGG